rnacentral:rRNA from 1 species
CAGAGCAAUCUGUGUGACUGCGUACCUUUUGUAUAAUGGGUCAGCGACUUAUAUUCUGUAGCAAGGUUAACCGAAUAGGGGAGCCGAAGGGAAACCGAGUCUUAACUGGGCGUUAAGUUGCAGGGUAUAGACCCGAAACCCGGUGAUCUAGCCAUGGGCAGGUUGAAGGUUGGGUAACACUAACUGGAGGACCGAACCGACUAAUGUUGAAAAAUUAGCGGAUGACUUGUGGCUGGGGGUGAAAGGCCAAUCAAACCGGGAGAUAGCUGGUUCUCCCCGAAAGCUAUUUAGGUAGCGCCUCGUGAAUUCAUCUCCGGGGGUAGAGCACUGUUUCGGCAAGGGGGUCAUCCCGACUUACCAACCCGAUGCAAACUGCGAAUACCGGAGAAUGUUAUCACGGGAGACACACGGCGGGUGCUAACGUCCGUCGUGAAGAGGGAAACAACCCAGACCGCCAGCUAAGGUCCCAAAGUCAUGGUUAAGUGGGAAACGAUGUGGGAAGGCCCAGACAGCCAGGAUGUUGGCUUAGAAGCAGCCAUCAUUUAAAGAAAGCGUAAUAGCUCACUGGUCGAGUCGGCCUGCGCGGAAGAUGUAACGGGGCUAAACCAUGCACCGAAGCUGCGGCAGCGACACUGUGUGUUGUUGGGUAGGGGAGCGU